AAUAUGUGCAUAUACGGGUGUAUACGGUCCCGUAUAUGUCUAAUAUACGAAUAUCAUAUAACAGGUAUCUUUCCUGAAAGUAUGAUCAAAACCUAUGCCUUAAAUAUACUUUUGGACCUUGACAAUCCCUAACUUUGAAUACUGACAUAAACUGUUGAAACGUAUUUAUGCUAAGUAUGAAUGAACGGAUCCAUGUGAGAAAAACAUGAAUGUCUAAUUAAGGAAUACGGGAUUCCCGUAUAUGGAAUGUUCCAUAUAUGGGAGAAUUGUUUCCGUAUACGCCCAUAUAUUAGGAGUAUACGUAAUACGUACACUCCCGUAUACGGAACCAUUUUCCGCAGUGUUAACCAAACUUCUAUGUAGACCAAUCUGUUUCCGGAUGAUAACUCAAGAACGCUGGGGCCUAGGAUCAUGAAAGUUGAUAUGAAGGUUGGUCAUCACCUGCAGAUGACCCCUAUUGAUUUUGAGAUCUGUAUGUCAAAGGUCAAGGUCACAAUGACCCUGAAGAAUUAAAGGGUUUCCGGAUGAUAACUCAAGAACGUACGCUUGGGCCUAGGAUCAUGAAAGUUGAUAGGGAGGUUGGCCAUGACUAGCAGAUGACGCCUAUUGAUUUUGAGGUCAGUAUGUCAAAGUUCAAGGUCACAGUGACCCGGAACAGUUAAACGGUUUCCGGAUGAUAACUCAAGAUUGCUUGGGCCUAGGGUCAUGAAAGUUGAUAGGGAGGUUGGUCAUGACCAGCAGAUGACCCCUGUUGAUUUUGAGGUCAGUAGGUCAAAGGUCAAGGUCACAGUGACCAGGAACAGUAAAACGGUUUCCGGGCUAUAACUCAAGAACUCUUGGGCCUAGGAUCAGGAAAAUUGAUAGGGAGAUUUAUCAUGACCAGCAGUUGGCCCCUAUUAAUUUUGAGGUCAUUUGGUUAAAGUUCGAGGUCAGAUUGGCCAGGAACAGUUAAACGGUUUCUGGAAGAUAACUUGAGAAUGCUUGGGCCUAGGAUCAUGAAACAUAAUAGGGAGGUUGGUCAUGACCUGUAAAUGGCCCCUAUAGAUUUUGAGGUCUGUAGGCUAAAGGUCAAGGUCACAUUGACCCGGAACAGUUAAACUCUUUCCAGAUGAUACCUUGAGAACGCUUGGGCCUAGGAUCACUAAACUUAAUAGGGAGGUUGAUCAUGACCAGCAGAUGACCCCUGUUGAUUUUGAGUUCAAUAGGUCAAAGGUCAAUGUCACAUUGAACCAGAACAGUAGAAUUUUUGUUUACAGUGAGCAAAUAAUUUCUGUUCCUUGUGCAAUUUCUGAAUGCAUCAAGGGGGGCAUUUCGUGUUCGAUGAGCUCUAAUGUUUAACCUUUAGCCUGCUGUUGCCAGUGUCGGCAAGUGAUUCUGCCUUUGUGACCAGUGCAUAUAGUCUGUUGAUCAAGGAAUACUGAUCAGUUAAGUCAAUAUUGACUGUGUGAACAAUAAACCUUUACCCUGCUAAAUUUCUAAAAUGGACUGGUCUGUCAUUCAAUCUGGGCAGUAACAUUUAUAAUUCAAAGGGGUGUUCACUGAAAAUUUAUUGAUAGCAUAGCGAACCAAGAUCAGCCUGCACAUCCAUGAGUUAGGGCCACGUGUUUGGCACAUGUUCUCUGUGACAUUAUUUGUAUUCAACCUCUGUUUCAUAUGCGGAAUUGCCAGUUGCAGAGAACAAUUUUGUACUGGUACAGAAUCCAGGAACACUGGUAAUGUUAAAUGCCUGCCAGAACCAGCUGGCCGGAACACAACUGAAAUAUUGUUGAAAAAUAGCAUUAAACCUAAAACAAAAAACAAACAAAUCUUUUGCAGUGCAAUGUGAGAAGUGACAGUAAUGCAGAAUACCUACAGACAUUGAACAUGUUGAAGAGAAAUGAAGAGAUACAACACUAAAUUGUUCCACAUGGUGUGUGUGGGAAACAUAGUGGACAGAAAGCAUGUGACAAUGUGAAGUAACAGUAACACAGAAUGGCUAGAGACCAUUAACUUGUGAACUGAAGAGAUGCAGGUCAUUGUUCUAUAUGGUGAUUGGUGGAACCAUGGUGCAGAUUUGAAUUUAUAAGGUGUGCAGUUACAGAAAAGCAGAAUAGCUACAGACCAUGAAAUUUAGAAAAUGAAGAGAUGCAUGUCUCUGUACAGCAUGGUGUAUAUGGGAAACAUUGUGGGUCAAGGACAUGAAAUGAUUUAUGUGAAGUAACAGUAAAGCAGAAUGGCUACAGACAAUUAGUUCAGAAUUGAAGAAGAGAUGCAGGUCUUUGUUCAAAAUUUAUGGUGUAGAGGGAAACCAU